UUCUCUCUUCACACGCAGAUCUGAGGCGUUCUGUUUAACUAAUGUUAUAGUCAUCACCGCUGGCUACUCGACCUACAGGGUGAUGUUGGUGCUCAUCAUACUGUUGCUACGGCAGAACGUGAAAUGUGAGAGACAAUACUCGGCCAUCCGUGAUCAUAUCUAGGUCAGCCGCUUUCAUCGCGUUUCUACAAGACGAAUUGAGACGUUAGUCAUGUCUGUUGAAAGGUUCGCUUUGUAUGUUUAUGCCACUGAAUAGCCGGUUUUGUCUCUUCAGUUUUUCUGUUGCAGGGCGGUGAGAAAGGUGAUCGACCUACGGGACAUAAUCGCGGUCACAGUAUGAGCGCACUUGUUGGGUUCUACAGCUUUCAGAUCAUCUUCUCAACAAGCUGCUAAAGAAAGACAUGAAGGCGAGUCGUAUUGCUCAUCGAGGAGCAAGGACCGGGUAAUCAAGUUGCACCUGUUACAUCAUUAGAAAAUUCUCUUGUGGAAGUGGUGGAGGAGGCAACGACAUCACAAUCUCAUUGACUACAUUCCGUUAAGCAACGUAGUUAUAUGAAUCAGAUCACCUGCUACCGUUUCUAUGCCAUCAAUGAGACAACCUGCCAUCUUUGUUGAAGCAAUUGAAGAAAAUGCAGAAGAGCCAGCAGACAGAACAGUCACACAAACGUCUGUCACAAGCAAUACAAUCUAUAAGCUCUGACAUUCCUGCAUGGAAUGGCUGCAGAAUCCAAGCAAAGAAACAAACUUCAAAAGCAGCAGAUAUUCCUGAUUGGGUGAAGAAAUUUGAAAUGGAACAUUCAGUUGUACGUGGUUCAUGAAGAUGGAGUGAGAUAGAAAGAUAAAGUCGGGUAGAAAGCUCUUCGUGUUUUCCGUCUAUCAGUAGGAGUAAUAGUGACACAUCAAAUGGUCUUCCUCUCCUGUCAUUGUGCUCACGUGAUGUUUACUCUACAGGUCACGUGAUGUUUGUAACGCUAUAGAUGAGAACAAGCGUCUCAUAGUGUGAAGACUGAAUAUUUAAUUCUAGAUACUUUUAUUUGUUUAAGAGAUGUUUUGUAUUAUGAAAUAUAGAGUAGAAUGUAAAUAGUAAACAAUGAUAUAGAAUACUCUAAAAUAGUUAUGAUUCACGAGUAUUUCCGGGUAAGCUAGUGGAACGUUAGAAAUAUUGAUACAAAACUUUGUUGGGAAUGCGUUACAUGUACAAUG